UUUGCUCUUCAUGCUCUUCCCUCUGGUUUGGUGUUCCAGCUAAUUUAACUCAUCCUACCAUCAUCUGGGUUGAUGUUUCUCAUUCAUCCAUCUAAGGACAGCAACACAAGAAGAUGUGUUUUGUUGUUUCAAUUAAGUCACAAAAUGAAAAUUUUCCAUCUGGGCCAAUUUGUUUUGUCAAGCCAACAAGAGGGUGAACUAUGCUCUUGACCUUGUUGUGUUGCCGUAGAAGAAAGAUGAUUAGGUGGUUAGGUAGUUAGGAGUUGAAGAUAGUUUGUUAACUUUGCAUCAUCCACUUUUGAUUGGAUCACAAGCCAUUUCAUUUU